CGCGCGUAGCUGCUGCCCGGACUCCUCCCGCCUGCUCUCUGUCUCCGUCGCAUGGGACCGCCGCCCCGGGGAUGUCUCCGGCACGGGCUCCGCGGAGAUCCCGGUCCACCUCGCCACCGAAUCGCGCGGCCGGCACAAGGUCAUGGCCUUCGUUGGGAUCUUGACCGGGUUCAGCAGUCCUCAAACUUCAUGGCCGCCUUGUUCACUAGUUGAGGGGUCGCUUGAAAUAACUGUCAGCUUGCUCCUGCAGCGGAGUACAUGAGCUUGCCGGCGAGCCAGUACUCGGUGCUAGACGCGGAGCGCAUCGAGCGCGCCGACGACUCCACCUUCCGAUGCUACGUAUACCGCUUCCGCUUCUUCGCACUCGAGGUCUGCCCUGUCCUCCUUGUCCGCGUCGACGAGGAACCCAACGGCUGCUGCAUUCGCCUCCUCUCCUGUAAGGAUACAAUUGACAUGAUUUGCUGUGGGAUGCAGCUUCCAUGGUGAAUAGGGUUUUCUGCAGCAGCACUAAACAAGAUUCAGCUAUUCAACAGCUUACAUCAGAUACUACAAUAGAGUGUCGCUGCAGGUUUGCAUCAUUAUGAACUAUUGAAAAUUGGCAAACUUUAUGCUGGCAAGGAAACCACCAUCCAUUUUUCUCCUUUCUAUCCCAUGCAGUGAAACAGGUACAAGUUUCCUCUUAACUUUUAGUUCUGCCCCUAUCAGUUUUGUUAAUCGAAGUAAUGUUGUAUAGCUAACCAUGGCUAGCUUUUUCAAUAAAUUGUAAAUGAAUUUGAUGGUGGACGAUGUAAAAUUCCUGAUGGACAGAAGCAAAACUCUAUAAAUACACCGCCAUACCUAAAUUUUCGGUCGUCCUCCGCCACUGGC